UCUUCUUCUUCCUUUUGUCCUGUGAUAAUCGCUGGCGCCUGUGCUGCAUUACAUUGCCCUUUGUCUCGUUUGGCACGCGAGUUUUUCUGGGUGUUCUUCUUUUUUGUGCUUUCUCGGACUGAAUUUGAUGUGAGAUUUACAGGGAUUUCAGUGGAUUGUGCGAGCUGUGUCACGUGCUUUCGGUAGAUGAACACGUCGGUUUGCUUGGAGAGUGACCCUUGAUUGGGUGAGGGUUUUGGACAAUAGGAUGCAAAUUCUCUUGUGCUGCGUAGAGUGUGUUAUAGAAGACUAUGAUGGGAUCACUUGAUGACAGAUCGGAUGAUGAAUACUCUGUCAUUGGUGAUAAGGGAGAAAUUUCAUUCAUCGAUUAUCAAAGAGACCAGUCUGUUUGUAGUUAUGAUCUCAAUGAAGAUGAUCCAGUGGCGGUUUCUGCUCCAUUUGCUUUUGUUGAUGGAAAGCCACGGUCAGUAUUUGUUGGGGAAACCGCUGCAGAUUCGAUCUCCAUAACAAACAACACUGAUGAUCAAAUAGACAUCUGGUCCAUAAAAAUAUAUGCCUCAACUCCUGAAAAUUCAUUUACACUUUCUUUGAUGGAGCCACAAUCGGAAAAUUCAGGUGUGGAUGCCGUUCAACGUUUCCUCGGGUCCUUUUCCUUGGAGGACAGAGUGCUGCAGCCAGGAGAGACUCUAACUGUCUGGUUGUCUUGCAAACCAAAGGAAAUUGGGUUGUACACAUCGGUGGUCCAUAUCGAUGUGGGGAAUGAUAAGAUAGAAAGAGUAGUUUUCCUAUUGGUAGAUAACAAGAUUUCCAGGUCCCUGGUUGCAAAAAAGCCAUAUGUUAGAGGCACCAGAAAGAAGCAUUUUGAUGUGGAAACAUAUGUUGUUGGUUCACGUCCGGCAAGAAUUUCUACACACUUCAAGAAAAGGCUCCGUCAGUAUCCAAUUCCAAAGGAUGUGAGAGAAUUGAUAGAGAACAAGCAAAUUCCUGAGGCAAUAAGAGGAGGUCUAACCAGAGAAAAUUAUGCUCCUUUCUUCAAAACAUUGGUAAAUAUUGAAGAACUGAAACUGGAGGAUGAUGUGAGAUCUUUUGAUAUGGAAAAUGUUACUAUGAGAAGGAAAGGGACUCAGUACCUGACCCUCGAAGUGCCUGGACUGGCUGAGAGACGACCUUCACUGGUCCAUGGAGAUUACAUUUUUGUAAAGUUGGCUUCUGAUGAAGAAAGUUACAACAAUCCUUACCAGGGCUUUAUACACCGUGUUGAAGCUGAUGAAAUUUACUUGAAGUUUGCCAAGGAUGUCCAUAUGCGUCAUAGGGAUGAGAGUUUAUACAAUGUUCAGUUCAGUUAUUGCCGAAUCAACAUGAGAAGAUUAUACCAGGCAAUUGAUGCUGCCAAAGAUUUAGAUGAAGCGUUGCUUUUCCCCUCUGACUUACAACGGAAGAGGCUGAUUUCAACAACGCCACUGGUUCCUUUUAAUCAUCUUCUGAAUGAGGAGCAAAUACGUUCGGUUGAGAUGAUCCUUGGCUGCAAAGGAGGGCCACCUUUUGUAGUUUAUGGUCCUCCAGGCACGGGUAAGACCAUAACUAUAGUGGAAGGAAUAAUGCAGCUUUAUGCAAAUCGUCCGGAUACCCAAAUCCUUAUCUGCACUCCAUCAAAUAGUGCUGCUGACCACAUUCUAGAGAAGCUUCUUGGGGAGGAGUCCGUGAAAAUUAAGGAUUAUGAGAUAUUCAGGCUUAAUGCGACUAGUCGACCUUAUGAGGAUAUCAACCCUGAACAUAUUCGGUUUUGCUUUUUCGAUGAGCUUGUUUUCAAGUGUCCUCCAAUCAAAGUCCUCAUGCGCUAUCGGAUUAUCAUCUCGACAUACAUGAGUGCUUCUCUUCUUUCUGCCGAGGGUGUGGAGCGAGGCCAAUUCUCUCAUAUCUUUUUGGAUGAGGCUGGCCAAGCUUCAGAACCAGAAAGUAUGAUCCCUCUUGCUAACCUCUGCCAACGGGACACUGUUGUGGUUCUUGCGGGUGACCCGAUGCAAUUAGGCCCUGUGGUGUACUCAAAAACAGCUGAAGAGUAUGGAUUGGGAAAAUCAUACCUGGAGAGGCUGUUCGAUUGUGAAUUUUACUUCAAUGGUGACGAGAAUUAUGUGAAAAAACUUAUCCGAAAUUACCGAAGUCACCCGGAAAUUCUGCACUUGCCUUCAGAGCUCUUUUAUAAUGGAGAAUUGAUAGCAUGUAAGGAUGAUGCAAGCUGUCUUAGCAUAGAGGUGGAUCUCAUUCCUAACUGCAAAUUUCCUGUUCUCUUUAUUGGUAUUCAAGGAUGUGAUGAGAGGGAAGGAAAUAAUCCUUCAUGGUUUAAUAGAAUUGAGGCAAGUAAGGUAAUUCAAGUCAUCGAGAGAGUCAUAGCAUGUGAGGAAAUUAACGAGAAUGACAUAGGUGUAAUAACACCAUAUCGCCAACAAGUACUUAAACUAAAGACAUCUCUCGAAAGUCUAGAGUUGCCCAAUAUCAAGAUUGGAAGUGUCGAGCAAUUCCAAGGGCAGGAAAGCAAGGUUAUCAUAGUAUCCACGGUGCGAUCUACUAUAAAGCACAAUGAGUUUGACAGGGUCCACUGUUUAGGAUUCUUGAGCAAUCCGAGAAGAUUUAACGUGGCUAUUACUCGGGCUAUAUCCCUGCUUAUCAUUGUUGGGAAUCCUCAUAUUAUAACCAAGGAUCCAUAUUGGAACAGGCUCUUGUGGUAUUGUGUGGACAACAAUUCUUAUCAGGGUUGUGCUCUUCCUGAGAGAGUUGAGGAAUCUGUUAACGAUUAUGCCGGUUAUGAGGAAGGAAUCCCCCAGCAUGGAGAAGAAAACAAUUGGGAUGAAGAACCCCGUCAAACAGAGGCUCCUCUGCCAGUUACAAAUGAAGAUGAAUGGUCAGAUGGCUGGAAGUAAGUUGUUGGAGUGUCUGCAAAUAUAGACAGAAGGCAAGUGAAUGAACCUCUUGACUUUAGUGGGGCUGUUGUUGUGGUUUUCCUUAGGGAACUGGGUUUGCAUCAUUUUUCAUUGCUCUAGAUUUUGUUGGCGUUUGAGUCUAUCGGCUUGGGGUGUGUUAAUUUUCCCAUCUGGCUUUUUCUAGGGGAAAAAUAACAGCGCUGGUUUGCACUGCCAACCUCGCUCGGAAGGAACAAUGAAGCAGAAGUUUUCAAAAGUUUGAUUGUUGAUUCUACGUGACAAUGCGGUUGUUGUUUACGUGGAGAGAUGCUAGAUUGGAAUUUUUCCCACUAUGUCGUGGGCCUAUUUAUAUUUUGUUCAAAUCUUUUUUGGAUGCGGACAUUUUAGAAGAGGUUAUCAGCGUUUGAAACGAGUAUUUCGUUUCAAAUAUGGAUGGAAAUAGGUGAAUAUCGUUGGGCGCUCAGCCAGUGAAGUAAAGAGUCUGGUUCUCGG